rnacentral:rRNA from 1 species
AGAACGAACGCUGGCGGCAUGCCUAAUACAUGCAAGUCGAACGAACUCUUCGGAGUUAGUGGCGCACGGGUGCGUAACGCGUGGGAAUCUGCCCCUUGGUUCGGAAUAACAGUUGGAAACGACUGCUAAUACCGGAUGAUGACGAAAGUCCAAAGAUUUAUCGCCAAGGGAUGAGCCCGCGUAGGAUUAGCUAGUUGGUGAGGUAAAGGCUCACCAAGGCAACGAUCCUUAGCUGGUCUGAGAGGAUGAUCAGCCACACUGGGACUGAGACACGGCCCAGACUCCUACGGGAGGCAGCAGUAGGGAAUAUUGGACAAUGGGCGAAAGCCUGAUCCAGCAAUGCCGCGUGAGUGAUGAAGGCCUUAGGGUUGUAAAGCUCUUUACCCGAGAUGAUAAUGACAGUAUCGGAGAAUAAGCCCCGGCUAACUCCGUGCCAGCAGCCGC